UCGACCGUACUUUACAGGAUCAUGUAUAUAGUACGUUUCCCGUCUUUGUUUUCCAAACAAGACACAUUUACUAAGUUGGAAGAUGAUAAGUAGCACCGGUUCAUAGCGGGAAGUGGUGAUUAAUGUUGUUUUUUUAAUGAUAUUUUUCACUUUGAAGAUCGUGCCUAUCAAAUUUUCCAUUGAUACGGCAAGGACUUGGUUGCUUUCUGACAACU
rnacentral:snoRNA from 1 species